UAAAACUUCGUAUCGCAUGAUACAAGGUUAAAAGGCGCUACGGCGUCACCUAGAGAUGGAUCCGCGGUGCAUUAGUUAGUUGGUGGGGUAAAGGCCUGCCAAGACAAUGAUGCAUAGCCGAGUUGAGAGACUGAUCGGCCACAUUGGGACUGAGACACGGCCCAAACUCCUACGGGAAGCUGCAGUAGGGAAUCUUCCACAAUGGGCGAAAGCCUGAUGGAGCAACGCCGCGUGAGUGAAGAAGGUUUUCGGAUCGUAAAACUCUGUUGUUGGAGAAGAAUGUAUCUGAUAGUAACUGAUCAGGUAGUGACGGUAUCCAACCAGAAAGCCACGGCUAACUACGUGCCAGCAGCCGCGGUAAUACGUAGGUGGCAAGCGUUGUCCGGAUUUAUUGGGCGUAAAGCGAGCGCAGGCGGUUUCUUAAGUCUGAUGUGAAAGCCUUCGGCUCAACCGAAGAAGUGCAUCGGAAACUGGGAAACUUGAGUGCAGAAGAGGACAGUGGAACUCCAUGUGUAGCGGUGAAAUGCGUAGAUAUAUGGAAGAACACCAGUGGCGAAGGCGGCUGUCUGGUCUGUAACUGACGCUGAGGCUCGAAAGCAUGGGUAGCAAACAGGAUUAGAUACCCUGGUAGUCCAUGCCGUAAACGAUGAGUGCUAGGUGUUGGAGGGUUUCCGCCCUUCAGUGCCGCAGCUAACGCAUUAAGCACUCCGCCUGGGGAGUACGACCGCAAGGUUGAAACUCAAAGGAAUUGACGGGGGCCCGCACAAGCGGUGGAGCAUGUGGUUUAAUUCGAAGCAACGCGAAGAACCUUACCAGGUCUUGACAUCCUUUGACCACUCUAGAGAUAGAGCUUUCCCUUCGGGGACAAAGUGACAGGUGGUGCAUGGUUGUCGUCAGCUCGUGUCGUGAGAUGUUGGGUUAAGUCCCGCAACGAGCGCAACCCUUAUUACUAGUUGCCAGCAUUUAGUUGGGCACUCUAGUGAGACUGCCGGUGACAAACCGGAGGAAGGUGGGGACGACGUCAAAUCAUCAUGCCCCUUAUGACCUGGGCUACACACGUGCUACAAUGGAUGGUACAACGAGUUGCGAGACCGCGAGGUUUAGCUAAUCUCUUAAAACCAUUCUCAGUUCGGAUUGUAGGCUGCAACUCGCCUACAUGAAGCCGGAAUCGCUAGUAAUCGCGGAUCAGCAUGCCGCGGUGAAUACGUUCCCGGGCCUUGCACACACCGCCCGUCA
rnacentral:rRNA from 1 species